UUCUUCUUCUUAUCCUUCACCUCGCCGUGUUGUUGUCACUGGUCUAGGCUUGGUGACUCCACUUGGACGAGGCGUUGAAACAACAUGGAGGCGUUUAAUUGGUGGAGAAUGUGGGAUUAGAGGAUUGACUCUUGAUGAUCUCAAGAUGAAGUCUUUUGAUGAAGAGACAAAGUUGUAUACUUUUGAUCAGCUCUCUUCUAAAGUUGCGGCCUUUGUGCCUUUUGGAUCAAACCCAGGUGAAUUUGAUGAAGCCCUUUGGCUAAACUCCAAGGCAGUUGCGAAUUUUAUCGGAUAUGCUUUAUGUGCCGCUGAUGAAGCCUUGAGGGAUGCAGAGUGGUUACCAACUGAGGAGGAAGAAAAAGAAAGAACAGUUAAGUAUCCCUCAUCUGGACAU